AGCAGCCGCGGUAAUUCCAGCUCCAAUAGCGUAUAUUAAAGUUGUUGCAGUUAAAAAGCUCGUAGUUGAAUUUCGGGAUCAGUAUGUUGGUCGUGCUUCGGUACGUACUGUCAUUACUGGUUUCUACCUUCUGAAGAACCUUGAUGUCAUUAAUUUGGUGUCUUGGGGAAUCAGGACUGUUACUUUGAAAAAAUUAGAGUGUUUAAAGCAAGCAUACGCUUGAAUACAUUAGCAUGGAAUAAUGAAAUAGGACGUUUGAUUCUAUUUUGUUGGUUUCUAGGAUCGACGUAAUGAUUAAUAGGGAUAGUUGGGGGCAUUAGUAUUCAAUUGUCAGAGGUGAAAUUCUUGGAUUUAUUGAAGACUAACUACUGACGAAAGCAUUUGCCAAGGAU
rnacentral:rRNA from 1 species